AUAUAUUUACAGGGAGUGAGGGCGCGGGUGCUAAGGUCCGUGUCCGAGAGGAGAAGAAUCCAGACCACCGGCUAAGGCCCCCAAAUGAUCGUUAAGUUGAACUAACGAGGUCGGAUCGCAGAGACAGCUAGGAUGUUGGCUUGGAAGCAGCCAUUCAUUUAAAGAGUGCGUAACAGCUCACUAGUCGAGCGAUCUGGCGUGGAUAAUAAUCGGGCAUAAACGAUCUGCCGAAGCCGUGGAUGUCGCAAGACAUGGUAGGGGAGCAUUCCAUGCGGCGUCGAAGAUGAGGGAUGACCCUUGUUGGAGCGCAUGGAAAAGCAAAUGUAGGUAUGAGUAACGAUAAGGGGGGCGAGAAACCCCCCCGCCGAAAGACCAAGGUUUCCUGAUCAACGCUAAUCGGAUCAGGGUGAGUCGGGACCUAAGGCAAAGCCGAACGGCGCCGCCGAUGGAAGAAUGGGUUAAUAUUCCCAUACUGCCUCAUGGAGUGACGUGGAGACGGAGAAGUGACAGUCCUGCCGGCUGACGGAAUAGCCGGUUGAAGGGUGUAGAUAUUGAUUCCCGUAGGCAAAUCCGCGGGGAGAGUCGAACCUGAGAGUAUACGGAGCGCUUGCGCGACGUAAUAUGGACGUAACCAUGCUCCCGAGAAAAUCCGCUAAACUUAUCCAUGCGGCACCCGUACCGUAAACGGACACACGUGGUCGGGUUGAGAAUACUGAGGCGCUCGAGUGAUUCACGGUUAAGGAACUAGGCAAAUUGACCCUGUAACUUCGGGAUAAAGGGUCCUCGUCGUAAGGCGAGGCGCAGAGAAUAGGUCCAGGCAACUGUUUAACAAAAACACAUGGCUGUGCUAAAUGGAAACAUGAUGUAUACAGCCUGACACCUGCCCGGUGCCGGAAGGUUAAGAGGAGAUGUCAUCCGCGAGGAGAAGCGUUGAAUUGAAGCCCCGGUAAACGGCGGCCGUAACUAUAACGGUCCUAAGGUAGCGAAAUUCCUUGUCGGGUAAGUUCCGACCUGCACGAAUGG
rnacentral:rRNA from 1 species